rfam:Mitsuokella multacida DSM 20544 genomic scaffold Scfld1, whole genome shotgun sequence.
GUUAUCUGCCGCAUAGGCAGCUUAGAAA